AUACGUAGAGGGCAAGCGUUGUCCGGAAUCAUUGGGCGUAAAGCGCACGUAGGCGGCCCGGUAAGUCCGUUGUGAAAGUCAGAGGCUCAACCUCUGGAGGCCAAUGGAUACUGCCGGGCUAGAGUCCGGAAGAGGCGAGUGGAAUUCCUGGUGUAGCGGUGGAAUGCGCAGAUAUCAGGAGGAACACCAAUGGCGAAGGCAGCUCGCUGGGACGGUACUGACGCUGAGGUGCGAAAGCGUGGGGAGCGAACAGG
rnacentral:rRNA from 1 species